UGACGAGUGGCGAACGGGUGAGUAAUGCAUCGGAACGUGCCCAGUCGUGGGGGAUAACGCAGCGAAAGCUGCGCUAAUACCGCAUACGAUCUAUGGAUGAAAGCGGGGGACCGUAAGGCCUCGCGCGAUUGGAGCGGCCGAUGUCAGAUUAGGUAGUUGGUGGGGUAAAGGCUCACCAAGCCGACGAUCUGUAGCUGGUCUGAGAGGACGACCAGCCACACUGGGACUGAGACACGGCCCAGACUCCUACGGGAGGCAGCAGUGGGGAAUUUUGGACAAUGGGGGCAACCCUGAUCCAGCAAUGCCGCGUGCAGGAAGAAGGCCUUCGGGUUGUAAGCUGCUUUUGUACGGAACGAAACGGCUCUGGUUAAUACCCGGAGCUAAUGACGGUACCGUAAGAAUAAGCACCGGCUAACUACGUGCCAGCAGCCGCGGUAAUACGUAGGGUGCGAGCGUUAAUCGGAAUUACUGGGCGUAAAGCGUGCGCAGGCGGUGCUGUAAGACAGGCGUG
rnacentral:rRNA from 1 species